UACGUAGGGUGCAAGCGUUGUCCGGAAUUUAUUGGGCGUAAAGAGCUCGUAGGCGGUCUGUCGCGUCUGCUGUGAAAACUCAGGGCUUAACCCUGAGCUUGCAGUGGGUACGGGCAGACUAGAGUGCGGUAGGGGAGACUGGAAUUCCUGGUGUAGCGGUGAAAUGCGCAGAUAUCAGGAGGAACACCGGUGGCGAAGGCGGGUCUCUGGGCCGUAACUGGACGCUGGAGGAGCGAAAGCAUGGGGAGCGAACAGG
rnacentral:rRNA from 1 species